AUUGAACGCUGGCGGCAGGCCUAACACAUGCAAGUCGAGCGAGCGGCGGACGGACGAGUAAGGUCUGGGAGACUGACUGACGGAGGGGGGGGAAUACUAGAAAGGGAAGAUAAUACCAAAUCCCAUCAGAUGGGCCCAGAUGGGAUUAGCUAGUUGGUGGGGUAACGGCUCACCUAGGCGACGGUCCAUAGCUGGUCUGAGAGGAUGACCAGCCACACUGGAACUGAGACACGGUCCAGACUCCUACGGGAGGCAGCAGUGGGGAAUAUUGCACAAUGGGCGAAAGCCUGAUGCAGCCAUGCCGCGUGUGUGAAGAAGGCCUUCGGGUUGUAAAGCACUUUCAGCGGGGAGGCGUUACCCGCAGAAGAAGCACCGGCUAACUCCGUGCCAGCAGCCGCGGUAAUAC
rnacentral:rRNA from 1 species